rnacentral:rRNA from 1 species
UGGGGAAUUUUGGACAAUGGGGGAAACCCUGAUCCAGCCAUCCCGCGUGUGCGAUGAAGGCCUUCGUGUUGUAAAGCACUUUUGGCAGGAAAUAAACGUCAUGGGUUAAUACCCCGUGAAACUGACGGUACCUGCAGAAUAAGCACCGGCUAACUACGUGCCAGCAGCCGCGGUAAUACGUAGGGUGCAAGCGUUAAUCGGAAUUACUUGGCAUAAAGCGUGCGCAGGCGGUUCGGAAAGAAAGAUGUGAAAUCCCAGAGCACAACUUUGGAACUGCAUUUUUAACUACCGGGCUAGAGUGUGUCAGAGGGAGGUGGAAUUCCGCGUGUAGCAGUGAAAUGCGUAGAUAUGCGGAGGAACACCGAUGGCGAAGGGAGCCUCCUGGGAUAACACUGACGCUCAUGCACGAGGGCGUGGGGAGCAAGCAGG